UACGUAGGGGGGCAAGCGUUGUCCGGAUUUAUUGGGCGUAAAGCGCGUGUAGGUGGCCAAGUAGGUCCGCUGUGAAAAACUUGAGGCUCAACCCUCAAGCUGUCGGUGGAAACCCCCUUGGCUAGAGUCCGGAAGAGGAGAGUGGAAUUCCUGGUGUAGCGGUGAAAUGCGCAGAUAUCAGGAAGAACACCCGUGGCUAAGGCGGCUCUCUAGUACGGUACUGACGCUGAGACGCGAAAGCGUGGGGGAGCGAACAGG
rnacentral:rRNA from 1 species